rnacentral:rRNA from 1 species
GAUGAACGCUGGCGGCGUGCCUAAUACAUGCAAGUCGAGCGAACAGACGAGGAGCUUGCUCCUUCGACGUUAACGGCGGACGGGUGAGUAACACGUAGGUAACCUACCUAUAAGACUGGGUUAACUUCGGGAAACCGGUGCUAAUACCGGAUAAUAUUUCCAACCGCAUGGUUCGAUAGUGAAAGAUGGCUUUGCUAUCACUUAUAGAUGGACCUGCGGCGUAUUAGCUAGUUGGUAAGGUAACGGCUUACCAAGGCCGCGGUGGGUAGCCGACCUGCGAGGGGGUAGGCGGACAGUGAGAGUGAGAGGCGGUCCAGGCUCUGAGGGGAGGCAGAGGUACGGACGCGUGGGAGAUGGGCGGAAGACUGACGGAGCAACGGAGGGUUGAUGAUGAAGGGCUGCGGGUGGUAUGACUCCGUUAGUGUGGAAGAACAAACGCGGAAGGAGCGAUGCAUGUGUUGACGGUACCUACAGAGAAAGCAACGGCUAACUACGUG